rnacentral:misc_RNA from 1 species
ACGUUGAGACUGGGAGAAGA